rnacentral:rRNA from 1 species
UCUGACGACCAUAGCGAGUUGGAACCACGCCUUCCCAUUCCGAACAGGACCGUGAAACGACUCAGCGCCGAUGAUAGUGCGGAUUACCCGUGCGAAAGUAGGACAUUGUCAGGC